UUUGCGGUUAAUGGCAGAAACCAAUUUGGCGUUAAAGUAAAAAAGAUCAUAUCAUAGGGAACAUUUGUACUGAGUUUCAAGUUGAUUGAACUUCAACUUCAUCAAUAACUACCUUAAACAAAAACUUUUAAUCAGACACUGGAAAGAUGAACGAAUGGAUGGACAGACGAACAGACCAGAAAACAUAGAUGUCCUUGGAUAAUAUAAAAACAUGUUAAAUAUAAAAGG
rnacentral:lncRNA from 1 species